rnacentral:lncRNA from 1 species
UCAAAAAGAGCAAAACAAUGCAUCAAAAACAGAAUAUGUCAAAAACAGGACAGUCUAGUAAUCUGAACAUCGACCAUACUUAUGUAACUUUACAAACUCUGAAAAUUUAAUAAGAAAUAAACAAAUUGCAAAGAAUUAUUGUGUUAAAAUUUCAGAAAAGUUUGACAUUCCAGUAAAAAAGGUAAAUUCACGCACUACAGCCAAACUUUCUAUUUUUGCACCGCACAUACC